UACGAAAAAAUAAAUGGGAUCGAAAUCAAUUUUUCAAUCUGCACACGAGAUUGUUGGCGCCGAAGGUCUUUACAGUAAUUUACUCGGUCAUCUAAAUUGUUCAGUGUAGCCGAAAAGAAAAAGAAGGUUGAAUAAACCCCGGAGCGAACAGAGGUUUGAGGCCUAGGGUUUUGCCAUAAUCGACCCGAGAGUUGGGAAUCGGUAGGCAUGGAAGUCCCAAUCCUCGGCAGCGAUUCACUGAAAUGGAUUGAGUUCCCUAUUCCUUCUUCUUCUUCUAAUGCCGCCACCGCCACCGCCACCGCCGAUGCUGAUACUUGUGCCCCUCUCACUCACGAUUGCGCUUCUUCCAUCGCCAUUGGCGACCCUCCUACACAUCUCAUAUGGAGAAUCCACAAGCAUCUCCCUCACUCUCUCGAAUUACUCGAGCUCUCUGCUAACAAAGAAUUUCCAAAACUCGGACUGCGAAUCACUUUUCCACAAGCACUCUCUUCCUCCGUUUUUCUUUGCAAAAAUGAGAUUGAUGUCGGUUCCAGGAGCCACCCUUAUUUGCUCUACGCAUUGACCGUCUCCGGAGUCGCUUACCUUUUGAGACUUGGAACCGUCUCUAGUUAUGCUUCCAGCUCUGUUAUUAGAGAGUUUAGCUUGCAUCCCCACGGACCUAUAACCAGUGCCGCAGCAACGCCAGCCGGAUGUCUUGUUGUAGGUCGGAAUGACGGCUCACUUGCUUGCUUUCAACUCACACUUGAAUCCACUGCUCCUGGUUUUCUGCAAGAGCUACGGGAUGAUCCAGGAAUCGGUAGUUUGUGGGGUUUCAUGUCAAGGGGUAGGACAGUAGGCGCUGUGCAGGACUUGGCUAUAUCUAUGGUUCAUGGGAAACCACUUAUAUUCGUUAUUCAUACGGAUGGGGUGUUACGAGUAUGGGAUAUAUCAUUUCAUAGCAGGCUCUUUUCCCAUAAGAUGAACGGUCUUACAAUGGCAGGAGCUGCAUUGGUAAGGUUAUGGGUUGGUCAAGCUGACAAUGAUUCGAGCAUAAUUCCUUUGGCAAUCUUGUACAGACAUAAUUCGGAAAUGAGCUCAGAGACGAUCUACGUAUAUAGCCUCCAUUGUAACGUGGGAGACAGAAUUGUUUUAUCGUUGGAUCCUUCAGAACAAAUUUUUCCUAUUGAGGAGGAUGGAUGGAUUGAUGUCAAACUUAUUUCCAACAAGAUAUGCAUAUUGAAAAAUCAGGGACUAGUGCUUCACAAGUUGUUGCAUACAAAUGUCAACAUGGUAGAUGCAGUUUGUUAUGCUUUGCAAGAGGACUUCGUUGCAGAUCAACUCUUUCAAAGUUCUGAACAUUCUUCGGAUGACCUUCUUUUGAUAACUCAUUCAAUAUUUUCAUCUUCAAAGGAUCAUAUUCUACCCGUUGUAUCUUCUAUUUUCUUACGUAGGCUGCUUCUUCCUGGCAUUCAUCAUAAUGCUGCUUUGCGCACAACUUUGUUGGAUUAUAAUAGGCACUGGACUGAGUCAGAUUUCCACUCCUUAACUGCUGACGGGUUGAAGAAGGAAAUUCUUUCCCUGAUUGAACAUGAGGUUUUCCUAAUGGGUCUGACUGGUAAUUCAUCGUCAAUAUUUUGCUGCUGGAAAAUUUUUUGUGCUCGCUAUUUCCAAAACUGGUGCAAGAGCAAUGCACCAUGUGGCCUGCUUGUUGAUUCCUCAACUGGCACUGUUGGUUUAAUUAGAAAGAGUUCAGUAUCUCUUUUUCGUUCUUUGGAGGAUAUUGAGCGGGUUAAUGAUGGCUCUUUGGAUGAACUUGGCAAUUUUCCAAGCUUUGGGUUGGAUUCAUUUGAUGAGACUCUUGAUUGUGAGCUACUUGCUGAAAUGCUCAGAUGUGUCAUUAACGUCAGCCAGCAAUUGGGCAAAACAGCUUCUGCUAUAUUUUAUGAAUCACUCAUUAGUGCACCACCAGUUAUCUCAUCUGAAGAAAUUAUUCCGCGCCUAUUGAAGAUAUUAGAAACUGGAUAUAGUUCAACAGCCGCAGUGCUUCAUAUAUCAGAUCUUGGACCUGAUGUUGCCUGGGAGAAAAAUCUAGCAGAUCACAAAAAUUUGAGGAAAUUUUCAAUUGACAUGAUGUUGUCUCUUCAUGCUUUGCACGAGAAAUCUGGCACAUGGAGCCGUAUUUUGAGUGUGAUUGAGAACUAUCUAAAGUAUCUCAUACCUCGGAAAAUUAUACAAAAAUUUGAUGCUGAAGUAGCAUUGGAUAUCAAUGCCUCCAUCUUGGUCCAGGCUAUGUCUCAAGUUGCAAAGGUUAUGUUUGAGUCUGCACUGGAUAUUCAUCUGUUUCUAAGCUAUCUAGUGAGCAUUAGUGGGCAGAUCAAUAUGCUACAUGAUGAUAUAUCCAAAAUACAGCUUGAGUUGGUUCCAGUGAUUCAAGAAAUCAUUUAUGAGUGGCUUCUCUUACAUUUCUUUGCCACCACACCAUCUGAAUCAGCUGCAAUUGAAGAUUUCAGCUCUCAACUUUCAUUGUUACAAAUUGAUAGCAACACAGGCAGAAGAUCAUGGAAUGAGAAGCUUGGGAAGUGCGAGUUCACUCUGGCUUUUAUAUUCUUACUUAAUGUUAGAAGUUCCUCCAAAGACCAGAGCCACUUUUCUCCAAGAAGCAUACCAAACGUUCAGGACAUAAUUGAUUCAAUACGAGAAUUUGCUAGCUGGAUCAUGUGGGGCCAGAAUGGGGAAUCCCUUACUGUCCUGAGGCGUGCAGCGGAUCUUGCAUUGAUCCUGCUACGGCACGGGCAGUAUGAUGCUGUUGAGCACCUACUCACUAUUGUGGAGGCACAUUUACAAAAGGAGAAGACUUCUCAUCGUAUUCAAGCUACAGAUGGUGGAUGGUGCAUACUGCAUCAUCUUUUAGGAUGCUGUUUCCUUGCUCAAGCACAUCGUGGAUUACAUGGGGUCCUGAAAGAGAGGAAAGUUCAUGAAGCUGUUCGUUGUUUCUUCAGAGCUGCAUCUGGAAAUGGCUCAGCGCAGGCCUUACAAAGUUUGCCUCAGGAAGCGGGGUUGCCACAUCUUGGUAUCGAUGGUAGCGUAUCAGAUGCUUCAUGGAGGCUCCAUUACUAUCAGUGGGCAAUGCAGAUAUUUGAGCAAUAUAAUAUUAGUGAAGGUGCAUGUCAGUUUGCUCUUGCUGCGCUUGAGCAAGUUGAGGAAGCUUAUAGUGCAAACAAUGAGUCCCAUGACAGAGCUCCAUUUGAUGAAUCAGUAUCUACCAUCAAAGGAAGACUUUGGGCACAUGUUUGCAAGUUUACUUUAGAUCUCAAUCUCUUUUAUGAUGCGUAUUGUGCAAUAAUUUCAAAUCCAGAUGAGGAGAGCAAGCACAUCUGGUUGAGGCGUCUUAUAAUUGUUCUUUAUGAACGUGGUGCCAUAAAGAUUCUUUGUGGUGGUCAGCUACCAUUCAUUGGUCUUACAGAGAAGGUGGAACAAGAGCUUUCAUGGAAGGCUGAGCGGUCAGACAUUUUAGCAAAGCCAAACUUAUAUAAGUUGCUUUAUGCAUUUGAAAUGCAUCGGCAUAACUGGCGAAAAGCAGCAAGCUACAUGUACCUUUAUUCUGCUCGUUUGAGAACUGAAACAUCUCUGAAAGGGUACCAGCAAUUGUGGCGAGCACUGAAGGAGAUACUGAAUGGGCUCUCUGCUGCUAUCAACGCACUUCAUCUUGUUCAUCCAGCAUAUGCUUGGAUUGAUCCUCUCCUUGAGAGAAAUGCUAUUCACAAUGAGCAGUAUCCAAGUAAAAAGGCUAGAAUAACAAUUGAAGACCAGCCAGCAAGCAAUGAUGUUGAUCCUCAAAGUUGGAAAUCUUAUAUAGAUAUUCAGAAAAUUGAAAACGAGUUUGUGCUUACUUCAGCAGAAUAUUUGCUUUCACUGGCACAUGUCAAAUGGACAAAUACAGGAACCCAGAAAGCACCAUUGGAGUUGGUUGAUCUCUUGAUCCAGACAAAUCUAUAUGAUAUGGCAUUUACAGUUCUUUUAAGAUUCUUCAAAGGUUCAGAGUUAAAGAGGGGAUUGGAAAGAGUUUUCUCUGCUAUGUCACUAAAAUGCUGUCCACAUAUAGUUAAUUCUUCAAGGGUCGGGGAUGAUUCGACAACACGGGGUCUUCUGUUGACUUCUUCAAAGGAUGAAGUGAUCGUUCAUGGUUCACCAGAUACAAGUUCAGCAAAUCAACAAUCCAGCGGAAUUAAUCAAUGGGGAACUCUCGAGCUUUAUCUUGACCGAUAUAAAGUCUUCCAUGCACGUCUACCAUUUUUUGUUGCUGAAACUCUUCUUCGUACGGAUUCUCAAAUCGAACUGCCUCUUUGGUUGGUUAAAUUAUUCAAGGAUGGCAGGAGGGAAAAGACAUUGAGGAUGACUGGCCAAGAAUCAAGUCCGGCAUUAUUAUUUCAACUAUAUGUUGAUUAUGGUCGAUAUAGAGAAGCUACGAAUCUGUUGCUUGAGUACAUAGGUUCUUUAGCAUCCAUGAGACCAGCCAACAUCAUGAAUCGUAAAAGACCAUUUGGAGUUUGGUUUCCAUAUACAACAAUUCAGCGCCUCUGGUGCCAACUUGAGGAAAUGAUAAAUUCAGGUCACAUGGUAGAUCAAUGUAAGCAGCUCAAAGAUUUGCUACAUGGAGCUUUGCUGAAACAUCUCCAACUGGUAAAAUCGGACUCGGAAGAUGCAGUUAGUUGAGUGAGUCAUUUCAGAAAAUAAGAUGAAAACGGAUGCAAUCUCGAGUAUCAUUUGCUGUAAAGAUAUGCAUCAGCUAUCACCUGACAAGUGCCGCAAGUCUAACAAGCCAGUAGUGGGCCUCCUCCUAACACAGAAUAUAAAAUGCCCGACUCUUGGUACUCAUCAGGGUAAUUGAACUCUUCUAAGGCUGAGAAACACUAGAACUAGAUAUAACAAAUUGUAUUUUUGGUUCCAGCAAAUUGGUUAGCCAUUGAAUUCUAAUAGACAAUCGGAGAAGAUGGUGCUGAUAAACCAAGAUGAGCUGUUUGUAUUAGACGGCAGGGAACCCACUUUUCUGUGCUUUUUGUUGGUGAUUGAAAACUCAGAGGCUGGAAGAGGGACGAACCCAAGAAUUGUUCAACAUCUUGUCAUCCAAGAGAGAGAAUGUAACAAAUACGAAACCCCCCAAUUCUGAAGUUGUGAUAAUAAAAUGAAUUCAAAGUUGCAAAUAGAUUAAAUGAAAAGCCAACUCAAUGUAAAGAUAAU